rnacentral:ncRNA from 1 species
UUACGGGAGAGACUUCCAAAGAGGCGCCGAAGGGGCAGUGGUAACAAACUCUCAGGCAAAAGGACCGUAA